CCUACGGGUGGCAGCAGUGAGGAAUAUUGGUCAAUGGCCGAGAGGCUGAACCAGCCAAGUCGCGUGAGGGAAGAAUGUCCUAUGGAUUGUAAACCUCUUUUGUCAGGGAGCAAAGUCACCCACGUGUGGGUGUUGGAGAGUACCUGACGAAAAAGCAUCGGCUAACUCCGUGCCAGCAGCCGCGGUAAUACGGAGGAUGCGAGCGUUAUCCGGAUUUAGUGGGUUUAAAGGGUGCGUAGGCGGGCAUUUAAGCCGGCGGUCAAAUGUCGGGGCUCAACCCCGGCCUGCCGUCGGAACUGGGUGCCUUGAGUGGGCGAGAAGUAUGCGGAAUGCGUGGUGUAGCAGUGAAAUGCAUAGAUAUCACGCAGAACCCCGAUUGCGAAGGCAGCAUACCGGCGCCCUACUGACGCUGAGGCACGAAAGUGCGGGUAUCGAACAGGAUUAGAUACCCCAGUAGUC
rnacentral:rRNA from 1 species